ACUUUACUUUUGUGGGUUUGUUGUUGUUGUAUACUUUUCUUUUGUUAAAUAACUCCAAUCAAACCGAAAAAACAUGAUAUUUCAAACAAAUCCUGUGUCUUUCGGAAAUCCUUCAUCUUUUCUUUACGCGUUUUCUCACAUCCUUGUAUUAGUUUAUCCUGCACUCUCUAAUUCUCUUAAUAAUACUUUAAAUUCUUAUAUACAUGUUAAAUUCUCAGUUACUCAUACAGAAAUCUGAAAAUAAAAAUGAAAAUUCCAAAGUUGAGGUUUGAUGUGCCGGAGCAAUAAUGAAAGCAAGAAAAAGUUUGUAUUUCUGACGCUAGAAAAUGGAAUGAAAAUGAAACUUCUAAAUUGUACCGAGAAAAUCUGGAGAUACUUUUGACACACACAAAAUGUUAGAUGGAAUGCUCCAUAGAGAAACCUUUAUACUGUUUCAGUGAUGUUGUUGACGUGUAUCUUCAGAAGCUGUGACUUCCUAGAUAUACUUGAAAGAUCCAAUCUUGAAGGGCGUUAAAGGAAGGAAAGAUGACUCGAGAGCAGUAUGAAAAAGCGUGCACUCUUUUGAAGGGUGUUUUGAGCUAUGAUACCUUCAACGACGUGGAUCUAGUCAUAGAGGUCCUAGCUCGAGUGCGCCUCAUCUUACUUGAUUCGGGCGGUUGUUGGAGCUUCCAAGGUAUCGAUUGGACAUUCAUGCGUCCGAAGUUCACCUCUAUCUUUCUAUACUAGUUAUGUGUUUAUUAGUAUUCGAAGUUCACCUCUAUCUUUCUAUACUAGUUAUGUGUUUAUUAGUAUUCAGAGACAGUUAUUAUUCCUUUAUGGUUAUUUUUUCGAUGCAUUUGACUUUUGGAUUGUAUUAGUAGUUCUUACACUAUUGACACCUAGUUUUGGGCAUAUUGGUGUUUUGGAUAAGUUCUUUCCGCAUUGUUAUAAUUAUUUAUAUGGUUCGGCUUCAUUCUAGAAACCUUACCUUGGGUA